ACCACACAGCAGUCACUCUAGUAACCAUCUGACAAACUUACUACCUGCAAAUCAUAUUAGAAACCACCUGGAUGCUGAAUGCGUCAGCUAUGUGUGCCAAAUACAGUAUAGGAAGCCUAUGUAUUGUUUCAUGUUCCUUCUUUGUAAGCAGAAAGACAGACCUGAGCAGUAUGCAAACUAUACCAUGAAUUUAUGUGGAUCAGGUGUGUCCAGUCAUAAAAAUUCUGCCCACAUAAAAGUACUAAAGUAAUUUAUAGUAAAUACCCAUAAUAUAGUAAAGUGUAGUAUACAGUAUAUAUUAUUUAAAACUUUGUUAAUGAAUGCUACAGCAUACUGUAGAGUAAUAAAUACACUUUAAAAAAUGUGUUAAAACAACACAAUCAGUUUUAUUAUUGGGAGCACUUUAAUCAAAUCUGUGUAUGCUUUUGAGGUUUUUGAAUAAGCUUGAUAUGUGCUUGGGACUAAUGCUAAUUGGGUUAUUGUUCAGCAGCUGGCUAAAUUCGGUCAUGUAGCUAGUAGACUAUGGGGCAUGCAAUGUAACCUGUGAUGAAGAAGGCAGGGAAUUGACGAGGAUGAGGGACAAAUUGCAAUUGUUAAGCAGUGUAUUUAUGGGUUUAUUCCUAGUGCAAUCGAUUUGAUAUUUUGAGCAUUGUUUGUUGAUUAGCUGAAUAUUUUGUUAAUACUACUGUGUAUGAUUGUACUUGUUGAGGAGAAAAAAAUGAGAAAUGAUGACAUAGUUCUUCAACAGGUAUGCAAACAAUGAAAGAAAAGUGUAGCCUAUAUUAUUUUAAUGUAGAAACGGUAAAUUGUUACAUUAUUUAGACCACCAGAGAAAAAGCUUUUCAGGGCACAAGUAGCAAAAUUUAGCAGUCACAGUCCUGUCAGACCCAUGUCACUAUCAAGCUUACCAUUAUCUUUUUAUAACGCAGCAUAAAUAAGAUACAGAAAAGAAGGAGGCAGGAGAAGAUUGACAGUUUUCAAGAGAAAUCCUGUAAGUGAAGUUGAAAGCUGGAUGUUGAUAAAUGUUGACAUUAAACAACAGUAGCCUAUUACCAUUGUAUAUUUUUGCAUUAAUUUAAUAUAUUACUUUUCAGGUUUUACUAAGGUUUGCUAGUACCACAGCCUUAUUCCUUUAUCACCUUGUUUAGGAGAUGAGGUUGCUGGAGGCAUCAGUUUAAAGAGAGAGAGAGAGAGGCACAGAAAUUUUCACAGGCCUUCAACUGAAACAGAUAAUCACUGGAGUCCAUUCCCGACUCCCGAGCGACCACAUUCAACAUAACAAGUGCACAUUUUUUGUUUGGAAAAAAGCUCACAGAAACUAAAACCAGAUGUAUGCAGCUUUGCCAGGCGUGCAGCACCAGCGUAAACCAGCUAAGACCACUCGUCUAAGCUUUCAGUCUGGUAAAGCUGGAUUUUCGAUCUGAACAGCUAAAAGUGGACUCUAAAAACCUCCCUAAAACCAGCCUGCUACAACAGCUAAAACCAAACUGGGAGACCAGAUCAACUAGGUUAGGUCCACGUGCUCGUCUCCACUCAAACCUUUGCAGAGAAAUGAAGCAGUGACUGCAUGUUUGAUCUACAGUCGCCACCUAGUGGUGAUAAAAAUGAAUAGCAUUAACAGAAAGUAUGAUUUCAACAUGUUUUUGGUGGUAUGGUACAGUGCUUUAUAUAGACUAAUGGUAUAUGGUACAGUCUACUUUAGCUUAAAGGUAAAUUUAACAGUGAAUGAAGAUAAUUUUUAAACUGUGUUUAGAUGUUGUUCAAUAAAGUUCAGAGUAUCAGUGAAGCAAGUUUGAGAGAUUUCUACAUAAAAUCUAUAAUGUUAAAAAUAUAAUCUUGAUAUCUUUAAUAAGGUAACAUUUUUAAAUAAGGUCUAUCUCUAUUUACAGUUGUUUUAUGCCACAUUUAACCUCCUAAGACCUGGAUGUCACAUAUGUGGACAUCAAUGUUUUUGUUGUUUGCACCAUAAUACUUAAUUCUGUGUAACUGGAACCUGUUAUACACAAACAUGGACAAAUACACUGCUUCAUGUUCUAAGAAAAAUAUUUGGUUAUUAUAUUUAUUGGUUCCCCAAAAUAGCUGGUAAAAAUCUGAAAAAAAGUCAAACCAAAGCUCGGGUUCAGGAGGUUAAUUUAGGCUUCAUGUUAUCUGACCGAUGAUAGGAGAUUGUUGCAUAAAAUUGGUUUGGGCAGAAAAAAUAAUUUUGGUAGUGGAAACAUUUUUUAGAUCUUUUCCUCUCAUCUCAUAUUUUGUCCACCACCAUGACCCUUUAGUCUCUGUGGUGGUUCUUCAUCAGUCAACAUGUCAAAUGUCCUUUAAUGUGUUUGGGAAUUAAUAUUAAGUAGUGUUUAGUGAAUUUAACCCUGCAGUAAACCCAGCAAUAUGUAACUCUGUUGAUGCUUUAACUGCUGUAAGGGAUGAGGGAUUAUUAGCUAACUUAAUGUCUGUUUUUGCCAGUGUUUAACUAUUUGAUAUGUGUGAAGGAUUUUGAGCAAUGAAAAACCUUUCGUAUGUAUCAUGCAUUAAAAUAUAUGACCUUUGAUGCUUUUUGAUGAUUUAAAUAAAAUCUCCAUACAAUCUGA